AACGAACGCUGGCGGCAGGCUUAACACAUGCAAGUCGAACGCCCCGCAAGGGGAGUGGCGCACGGGUGCGUAACGCGUGGGAACAUGCUCUUCGGUUCGGAACAACGUCGGGAAACUGACGCUAAUACCGCAUAAUAUCUCCGGAUCAAAGAUUUAUCGCCUGAGGGUUGGCCCGCGUUAGAUUAGGUAGGUGGUGGGGUAAAGGCCUACCAAGCCGACGAUCUAUAGCUGGUCUGAGAGGAUGAUAAGCCACACUGGAACUGAGACACGGUCCAGACUCCUACGGGAGGCAGCAGUGAGGAAUAUUGGACAAUGGGGGAGAUCCUGAUCCAGCCAUGCCGCGUGAGCGAUGAAGGCCUUAGGGUUGUAAAGCUCUUUUAGAUGGGAAGAUAAUGACUGUACCAUCAGAAUAAGCCCCGGCUAAAUUCGUGCCAGCCGCCGCCGUAA
rnacentral:rRNA from 1 species